rnacentral:lncRNA from 1 species
UUUUUCCUUAUUUCAAAACAGCUGGUGUGGCAUUAAUAAUAAUUUGAUGGAGAUAAAUGAAUUUGAUUUCCUCUAUAUUUUUAUGGUAAUAUUUUGAUCUGGAUUUGAAUGAAAGAAAGUUGGGCGAUUGUUAUUUGGUGAGAUUUUUUUGUAUCUGCUGAAUUGUUUAUGGUGUUGACAAUGUUUUAUUGUGCCUGUUGAAGAGUGUACUCAUUGAACCUACAAGUGGAAAUACUGGGAUUGGUUUGGCGUUCAUGGCGGCAGCCAAGCAAUACAGGCUUAUCAUUACAAUGCCAGCUUCAAUGAGUCUUGAAAGAAGAAUCAUUCUUCGAGCAUUUGGAGCUGAAUUAGUUCUCACUGAUCCUGCUAAGGGGAUGAAAGGGGCUGUUCAGAAGGCAGAGGAGAUUCUGGCUAAAACCCCCAAUGCUUACAUGCUGCAGCAAUUUGAAAACCCUGCCAAUCCAAAGGUAUUUCCUUAAUUAAUAAUCAAGUGGAAGCUGUUGGUGGUUUGAAAAGUUUAAGUGAUCGAUGUUGUUAGUGCAGAUCCAUUAUGAAACUACUGGACCAGAGUUAUGGAAAGGGUCAGGAGGGAGAAUCGAUGCCCUUGUUUCCGGAAUUGGUACUGGUGGCACAAUAACAGGUGCAGGAAAAUUUCUCAAAGAGAAGAACCCCAACAUAAAGGUAAGAUGAUGAUUUAUUUCAAAUAUCAAUUUAAAAGUGAAUGUACAUAUGCGAGUUUUGGAAAAAUGAAAUUUUAUUUCUCUUCUGCUUUGAAUUAUUGCUCCUUUCUUAGAGUGGCGUCUGAUUAUUUUUCCCUUUCCUGAAUAGCUCUAUGGUAUAGAGCCAACUGAAAGUCCUGUUCUAUCUGGAGGAAAACCUGGUGAGUUAUUUUUAAUAACUAAGACUCCUUGGAUGAUCUUUUCUCUUUGCAUAUUCCAGUUUCUGCACUCUGCAUCGUUUUAUGAAAUCAGUAACUGGGAUGCACAAGUAUUGGUCACACAGUUUGGCAUUGAACGAUCAUAUGAAUAAAGGAGAGGAACCCUUGUAGUAGGUGUAGUAGUAAAAGCUAGGGGACGAAUUAUUAUUCGAGCAUACAAUUAUGGAAGUCAGUUCCAAUCUUUUAGUGGAGUAGAUUUGGAAUUAAAUAAUUGGGCUAGUUUAAUUACAGGCCUAAUUAUUGUAGCCACUAUUGUAUGUUCCCAAAUGAUCCCCGGGUUAGCUCAUUUAAUUGACUGCACCACUACUGGACUAAUAAGUAAGAUAACUAGCUAUUUGGGUCAAAAGCAUAAAUAUAUCAUUUAGUGGGAGACUCCAUUUAAUUAGCUUUUGUGUAAGGGGUCUUAUGUUAUUUUACAAGGUGGGUCUACUGUUGAAAAAUCAAAGAAUGUGGUUUUUAUUUUUUAAUUAUUUGGAGGCCUAGGGUUUUCACUAAAGGGUGAUAUAAAAGGCUUAUUUUUCUCUAAAGAAAAUUGAGCAACCACUUUAUACAGAUCAGAGAAUAAGAUUUUUCUCUAUAUUGUUGAGAGAAAAAUUUUCUCGUGCUAGUUGUUUUGGUAGUGAUAAAGGCGCCCACACGUCAAGUACAGAUCGAACCUGAGUCAUAACCUGAAAGAUCAUUGGUGACAAUUCGUGAUCUAACAAGCGUGGUGGUGACGGAUCGUGAUCUAACAGGAAUGGUGGUGGCGGAUCGUGAUCUAGAAGCCUAAAUCACUUCAGCGGAAAAAGUCAAUUCUAAUUUUUAAGGUACGAUUUCUAGAAUACAAAUUCUUAUAUAUUAUAUGAGAGCGAUCUUCAAAAAUUUUAUAAAAAAAUUAAAAACCUAAUUUUUCCCCGACAUUUAUUAGCCCUAUCAUCAAGUGGAAAUAAUAAUAAACUUAAUGUCUUUAAAAAUUAUAUUACAUUUUAGAUAACAGAAUUAAGUAAUUUCUAAAUGCGCUACCUUUUAUUUAUUUUUAUUCAUAUCUUAUUCAAUGUAAAAAUUAAAUUACUAUUUUUACGAUUCUAUCUCACAUAAAUCUUUACUAAUUUUACUUGACGGAAUUUUUUUUUUACUUUUUCUAAAUUAAGUUUGUUUUCAUAUGACUUUUCCUUUUUUGGUAUUUUCUACCCGUCACUGCAUGGCAAUUGACAAUUGUGUGAAUCCGCCAAAAAAAUUUGGUUACAUGACAGUCACUGAUAAUAGAGACCUCAAUUCAAGUCAGGUUCAAUCACUUGUCUUUUGCAUCCUGUUCUUUAAAUUCAAUAUAAAUCCUCUCUCUUUAUUACCCACCAUUUUUGUUAAUUGUUAUCCGUAAGCCUCACCACCACCUUCUACACAAGUCAAGGUGAUUUUUUUUUUUUAAUUUUAGUAGUUUUUGCGCUUCGAUUUUAUGUUUAUUUGAUUUAUGACACUUAAGUACUGCCGUUUUCACUAUUCAAAUCAGUCUAUUAAUUUAAAAUGAACCCAUCAACGACCUUAUAAUAUCUGUAUAUUUAAGAUUCUCUAUUGUCUCUGAUUGAACAGUCAUUGAUUAGAAUGGAUUAACCGUUUGGCUGUCAGGAAAAUUUAGUGACCUAAUGAAAACAAGAUGGAAUUUUUGUCAAUUUUAAAAAUUAAAAUGUACCCUAACUCCGUAACAGUCUAAGGGAUUAACUUUAGGUGUGUGUGUAUAUAUAUAUAUAUAUAUUUUUUUAUAGGUGUGUGCUAUAUUGUACUUAUGAUGAUGAUGCUUAAAUAUUUUGCUUGAUCGAUUGCAGUAAUCUGAAAACAUGGCGGUUGAGAGUAGCAACAUUGCAAAAGAUGUUACAGAAGUAAGUUUUUGUUGACAUAAAUUUAAUUGUUCAUUGUUAUGCGUAAUAGUUAGCUCAGUAGGAAGUUUCAAAAUUCUAUGUUUGUGUACAGUUAAUUGGCAAUACCCCAUUGGUGUAUCUCAACAAUAUUGUCAAUGGGUGUGUUGCCCGCAUUGCUGCUAAGCUAGAGAUGAUGGAACCGUGCUCUAGUGUCAAGGACAGGUGUCGUUGUAUAUCCCUUGGAACAUUUUUUGUCUGAUUAUUAUAUUGCUGUUUGCUUAACUGUCUGCUUUAACUGUCAAGAAGUGGGUUUUUACCAUUCAUUGAGCCUCUGAUUUUUGGUUUUUCGAAUAAGUACUGAGUGAUGUUUCUUUUUUAGGAAUCCUAAAUUUUGUUUUCCAACAUGCAGGAUUGGUUAUAGCAUGAUUUCUGAUGCAGAGGCGAAAGGUCUAAUAACACCAGGGGAGGUAUGUUGUUUUUCCUUAUUUCAAAACAGCUGGUGUGGCAUUAAUAAUAAUUUGAUGGAGAUAAAUGAAUUUGAUUUCCUCUAUAUUUUUAUGGUAAUAUUUUGAUCUGGAUUUGAAUGAAAGAAAGUUGGGCGAUUGUUAUUUGGUGAGAUUUUUUUGUAUCUGCUGAAUUGUUUAUGGUGUUGACAAUGUUUUAUUGUGCCUGUUGAAGAGUGUACUCAUUGAACCUACAAGUGGAAAUACUGGGAUUGGUUUGGCGUUCAUGGCGGCAGCCAAGCAAUACAGGCUUAUCAUUACAAUGCCAGCUUCAAUGAGUCUUGAAAGAAGAAUCAUUCUUCGAGCAUUUGGAGCUGAAUUAGUUCUCACUGAUCCUGCU